CUCCCUCCAACCAUUUCAAGAAUCAUCAUUCCAUAGCUGUACACAUCAGAUUUAUGGGACACUUGUCCGAAAUUUCUACUAGUAACUUCGGGAGCAAUAUAACCAAUGGUUCCUCUAGGUUGCAGUAAAGAUGAGACUGCACUUUCGUUUGUGGUGUAUAAUUUUGCAAGCCCAAAAUCAGAUAUCUUCGGGCAAAAAUCUUUGUCAAGAAGAAUGUUAUGUGGCUUUAUAUCAAAAUGCAGGAUACGAGUGUUGCAGCCUCGGUGUAGGUACUCCAGUCCCCGGGCAAUACCUAUUGCAAUCCUCAACAAUUUCUCCCAUCCAAGAUGUUGUCCUUCCAACAAAGGAUUUGUACCAUAAAUAAACUUUUCCAGAGAUCCAUUAGGCAUGAACUCAUAUAUAAGAGCUCGUCGUUUACCUUCAUAACAAAAGCCAAGGAGAGUGACGACAUUAACAUGAGAAGUCCUACCAAUGCUUGCAACUUCAUUAAUGAAUUCUUCUCCAUUUCCUUUUGUUGCAUUCAAGACCUUCACUGCCACGUCACGUCCAUCUGAUAAGCGGCCUCGAUAUACAGUUCCAUAGCCCCCUUUACCUAAUUCAUCCUUGAACGAAUUUGUUACUUUUUUUANUUCUGCAGAAAUUUCAUUUGCCAUAUUUAGCACAUCAUCAAAUUGGAGUCGCUUGUACAGCCAACGUGGAUAAUAUAUCUCACUAGUGUGAUCUGCACCGGCAUUAACAUUCUUUCUCCCUCCAACCAUUUCAAGAAUCAUCAUUCCAUAGCUGUACACAUCAGAUUUAUGGGACACUUGUCCGAAAUUUCUACUAGUAACUUCGGGAGCAAUAUAACCAAUGGUUCCUCUAGGUUGCAGUAAAGAUGAGACUGCACUUUCGUUUGUGGUGUAUAAUUUUGCAAGCCCAAAAUCAGAUAUCUUCGGGCAAAAAUCUUUGUCAAGAAGAAUGUUAUGUGGCUUUAUAUCAAAAUGCAGGAUACGAGUGUUGCAGCCUCGGUGUAGGUACUCCAGUCCCCGGGCAAUACCUAUUGCAAUCCUCAACAAUUUCUCCCAUCCAAGAUGUUGUCCUUCCAACAAAGGAUUUGUACCAUAAAUAAACUUUUCCAGAGAUCCAUUAGGCAUGAACUCAUAUAUAAGAGCUCGUCGUUUACCUUCAUAACAAAAGCCAAGGAGAGUGACGACAUUAACAUGAGAAGUCCUACCAAUGCUUGCAACUUCAUUAAUGAAUUCUUCUCCAUUUCCUUUUGUUGCAUUCAAGACCUUCACUGCCACGUCACGUCCAUCUGAUAAGCGGCCUCGAUAUACAGUUCCAUAGCCCCCUUUACCUAAUUCAUCCUUGAACGAAUU
rnacentral:lncRNA from 1 species